rnacentral:rRNA from 1 species
UACGUAGGGUGCAGGCGUUAAUCGGAAUUACUGGGCGUAAAGCGUGCGCAGGCGGUUCGUGAUGUCUGGUGUGAAAGCCCCGGGCUUAACCUGGGAAUUGCAUUGGAAACUAGCGGGCUGGAGUGUGGCAGAGGGGGGUGGAAUUCCACGUGUAGCAGUGAAAUGCGUAGAGAUGUGGAGGAACACCGAUGGCGAAGGCAGCCCCCUGGGCUAACACUGACGCUCAUGCACGAAAGCGUGGGGAGCAAACAGG